UCAUGCUAGAAAGAGCGUAUGGUGGAUGCCUUGGCACUAAGAGCCGAUGAAAGACGUGAUAAGCUGCGAAAAGCUUCGGGGAGGAGCAAAUAUCCUUUGAUCCGGAGAUCUCUGAAUGGGGAAACCCACUUGAGCAAACCUCAAGUAUCCUAACGCCAAUACAUAACGUUAGGAGGGGAACCCGGUGAACUGAAACAUCUAAGUAGCCGGAGGAAGAGAAAACAACAUGUGAUUCUGUGAGUAGCGGCGAGCGAAAACGGAAGAGCCCAAACCGGGAUGCGUGCAUCCCGGGGUUCGGACCGCAUAAUUGAUUCAACAAAUUUAGCAGAACGGUUUUGGGAAAGCCGGCCAGAGAGGGUGAAAGCCCCGUAAGCGAAAGAUGAGUUGACAUGGCGGUAUCCAGAGUAGGUCGAGACACGUGGAACCUUGACUGAACAUGCGGGGACCACCCCGUAAGGCUAAAUACUCCUUAGUGACCGAUAGCGCAUAGUACUGUGAAGGAACGGUGAAAAGGACCCCGGGAGGGGAGUGAAACAGAACCUGAAACCAUAUGUUUACAAGCUGUGGAACCACUUUAUAUGUGGAACCGCGUACUUUUUGUAGAACGGUCCGGCGAGUUGCGCUGGCUGGCGAGGUUAAGCACCAAAGGUGUGGAGCCGAAGGGAAACCAAGUCUUAAUAGGGCGAAUGAGUCAGUCGGAGCAGACCCGAAACCGGGUGAUCUAUCCAUGUCCAGGUUGAAGUUGCCGUAAAAGGCAAUGGAGGACCGAACCCACAUCCGUUGAAAAGGGUGGGGAUGAGGUGUGGAUAGGGGAGAAAUUCCAAUCGAACCCGGAGAUAGCUGGUUCUCCUCGAAAUAGCUUUAGGGCUAGCCUCAUACGAGUCUUGCGGAGGUAGAGCACUGAAUUCCUAAGGGGGCGUCAAAGCUUACUAAGGGAUAUCAAACUCCGAAUGCCGUGUAGAUGAUGUAUGGGAGUCAGACGAUCCGAGAUAAGUUGGGUGGUCAAAAGGGAAAGAGCCCAGACCAACAGCUAAGGCCCCAAAAUGUGUGUUAAGUGGAAAAGGAUGUGGGAUUUCGAAGACAACUAGGAUGUUGGCUCAGAAGCAGCCAUUCAUUCAAAGAGUGCGUAAUAGCUCACUAGUCGAGAGGUCCUGCGCCGAAAAUGUCCGGGGCUAAACACUACACCGAAGCUGAGGAAUGACAAUGUCAUUGGUAGAGGAGCAUUCUUAACUGCGACGAAGCUGUACCGAAAGGAGCAGUGGAGUGUUAAGAAGAGAGAAUGCCGGAAUGAGUAGCGAGAGUGAGGUGAGAAUCCUCACGGCCGAAUAUCUAAGGUUUCCAGGGUAAAGCUGAUCUGCCCUGGGUAAGUCGGGGCCUAAGGCGAGGUCGAAAGACGUAGUCGAUGGAUAACAGGUUGAGAUUCCUGUACUACAAUGUAUCAGAACUGUGGGGACACAGACAGAGAGCCAGAGCCGGAAAUGGAAAAGCCGGUGCAAGCGAGGUAGGAGAACAGCAGGCAAAUCCGCUGUUCAAUCUGAAGACGUGAUGCGGAGCGAAAUAAAAGUAGCGAAGCUGGUGAGCUGGCUGUCGAGAAAAGCCGCUAUAGUGUACAUUGUACCCGUACCGUAAACCGACACAGGUAGAUGAGGAGAGAAUCCUAAGGCCGACGGAAGAAGCAUUGUUAAGGAACUCGGCAAAAUGACCCCGUAACUUCGGGAUAAGGGGUGCCUGAGAAAUCAGGCCGCAGAGAAUUGGCCCAAGCAACUGUUUAGCAAAAACACAGGUCUAUGCGAAACCGAAAGGUGAUGUAUAUGGGCUGACGCCUGCCCGGUGCUGGAAGGUUAAGAGGAGAGGUUAGCAUAAGCGAAGCUUUGAAUUUAAGCCCCAGUAAACGGCGGCCGUAACUAUAACGGUCCUAAGGUAGCGAAAUUCCUUGUC
rnacentral:rRNA from 1 species